AUGACCCGCUCCUCCUCCUCCUCCAGCCCACCGCCUGCCGCGUGCCACCUCCAGAUCACAACUGCUGCCACCACCGCCGCAGCCGCAAACUCCUCCGCCAAUCCCUCCUCCCCCGUCGCCCACUCCUCCUCCUCCUCCUCCUCCCGCGUCGCCGGAGCCGCCGCCGGGUCCGGGCAGAACCAGGCCUGCGCGGCCUGCAAGUACCAGCGCCGCAAGUGCAACCCGGACUGCCCGCUCGCCCCUUACUUCCCCGCCGACCAGCAGCGCCGCUUCCUCAACGCGCACCGCCUCUUCGGCGUCGGCCACAUCCAGGCCACGCUCCGGGAGACCCCGCCCGACCUGCACACCGACGCCAUGCGCGCGCUCAUCUUCCAGGCCGAGGCCCGGGCCUACGACCCCGUCGGGGGCUGCUGCCGCAUCAUCCUCGACUACGAGAGGCAGCUCGGCCUCGCGCAGGCCGAGCUCGCCGCGCUCCUACGCCACCUCGAUCUCUGCCGCCACCAGGCCGCCGCCAUGGCCCAGGACGCGCUCGUCGACGACCCAGGGAUGCUGCUGCUUGCCCCGGGGCCCAACCCGGCCGAUGUCCAGGACGGUGUCGCCGCUCUCGACGCGCUCUACGCCGGCCACGAGAUCAGCAAUGGCCAGGCUAACCACCACGAUCACGAUCAUUAUCUGGUCGGCGCCACGGACCAGCUGCAGCCGCAGAAGCACCAGCCUUACGACUACUUCUACUACGACGGGCCGGCGGCCGUCGACGAGAGCAGCAGCCAAGCUUGGAGCAAUGCCGGCAACGUGCAGCAACACUACGGAAAUGGCGUCAAGGCCGAAUCUCCGGUGGCGAUCGACGAUCAGAUCGAGACACAGUUCGUCGACGCUUUCGACGUGAAGCCAGAGAUAGCAGCAUCAUCGUCAGCCGCCGUCAUGGAACACGACGACGGCGGCGGUGGCGCCAGCUUCGACCACCGCCACCUGGAGCAGAAGGCGGUGGCCACCGUGGUGAAAAAUGAACGGCUUGACCACCAGGCGGCGGCGCACAUGGCAGCAGAGUCGUCGUCCCGCUGCCAGCUGGAGCUAGGGUUCUCUUCCUUCUGA
rnacentral:rRNA from 1 species